AUUGAACGCUGGCGGCAGGCCUAACACAUGCAAGUCGAACGGUAACAGGAAGCAGCUUGCUGCUUUGCUGACGAGUGGCGGACGGGUGUGUAAUGACCGGGAAACUUCCUGAUGGAGGGCGAUAACUACUGGAAACGGUAGCUAAUACCGCAUAACGUCGCAAGACCAAAGUGGGGGACCUUCCCGCCUCUUGCCAUCUGAUGUGCCCGGAUGCGAUUAGCUAGUAGGUGGGGUAACGGCUCACCUAGGCGACGAUCCCUAUAUCGUCUGAGAGACUGACAAGCCACACUGGAACUGACACACGGUCCAGACUCCUACAGGAGGCAGCAGUGGGGAAUAUUGCACAAUGGGCGGAAGCAUGAUGCAGCCAUGCCAAGUGUAUGAAGACGGCCUUCGGAUUGUAGAGUACUUUCAGAGAAGAGGAAGGGAGUAAAGUUCAUACCUAUGCUCAUUGCCGUUCCCCGCAGCCGCAGCACCGGCUAACUCCGUG
rnacentral:rRNA from 1 species